UAUCGAUUAGGUUAGUAUGUUAAAAUUGAGACUUGUCAUUUAGUAGUUAGCUCAAUGUCGGACAAUCGAUUAGUUGUUAGAUAGUGAAGUAAGAUUAAUAAUGUUGAGUUAGUUGCUGGCACUUUACUUUCACUUUUACAACCUGCAAUCUCAAACCUUCUGAACAGAGGCACAAAAUAUAUAUGGUGGCAGACGAUUCGGUUAUCGAAAUUAGGCGCCUGAUUGCAUACUUUAAUGAAGCGCGUAUUUCAGGAAAUGAAUUGAUAAAUAAUUCUUAUAGUAGCAAGACAGUUAGUGAGCCAUACUGGACUGCUGCACUGCCAUACUAACGGAGUUUCCAUCAAGUGAUCCCAUUUAUCCAGUGCGACCAUAAACUUGACAUUUUAUCCUCCUCUAUCAAAGAUUAAAUGGAAGUACUGGUUAAAAGCGGGAUUGUCAGUGUUUUCAAUGCAAUUGAAACUGAUAACAUAAGGAUCCAAUAGAGAAGACAACACCAGCUGGACUAUGGUUCUUGGCAGUUUCUGAUGCUCGUUUGAUUAUGGAGAUGCCAAGCAUAAAUCGAAAUGAAUACCUGCAGAUCUUAAGGUUCACUUUGAUUUUGUUGUCAGGUGGUCUGAGGAUGAAUUGGAAAUAAAUACUGAGGUCUGAAUGGGAUGGAGAUGUCAACAAGUUUGAUGAUUCUGCCGCUAUAGGGACUUGCUCCGGGAUAGUUAUGCAGGAUGCAGCUUAAGGGGAUGAAGUAUGCUUGAAAUCGGUCAUGAUUCAAGAUUGACAUGAACUACCAUACAUGACUUGAAGAAUCUUGUAGAUAAAGGAAUGAACUUGCCUAUGCAAAUAUGGGAUGAAUGGUCCAGGUGGAUACCGACAUUAGGCUUAGGGGUUAGAAGAGUUGACUUUGGUCAACUAUUGACCAAAAAGUCAACAGUCGACUAAAAGUCAACCUUAUCAAAAAUCCUUAUUUCCUUUUGUAGUUUUUUAUAGACAUUUGUAAACAUGGUAUUUGUAAGUGAUAUGAACAAACUUGAAUGAAAAAUGAUUUAAUACUUUAAUUCUCAAUUUGAACUU